rnacentral:pre_miRNA from 1 species
UCUCAUGAAUGAUCUAAAAAAGUGGUUUCUUGAGAUGGAAGCUACUCCUGGUGAAGAUGCUGAGAA